ensembl:misc_RNA 7SK 7SK RNA
GGAUGAGACAGCAAUCUGGCUGCGACAUCUGUCACCCCAUUGAUCACCAGGGUUGAUUCAGCUGAUCUGGCUGGCUAGGCAGGUGUCCCCUUCCUCCCUCACCACUACACGUGUUUUCCUAUUGAAGUUGUACGCUUGAUCAAAAAGGACAGCCUUCCCCAAAUAGAGACAGGUCAGUCUUCGGUAGAGGGUAUAUGAGUAGCUGUGCUCUCCUGCUAGAACCUCCAAACAAGCUCUCAAAAAGAUUUGUGUACACCUAUGUUCAUAGCAGCACAACUGCUAAUAGCCAAAACCUGGAAGCAAUCCAGGUGU